GCUAGCAAAUGAGAACAAGAGCGCAGUUAGAAAAUCCAUGCCCCAUGUGUUUAGAUGGAGCGGGAAAGUACAUGUCUAAUUCUUGUGUGUGGAAAAGUGAUCAGAAUGAGGGAAGGGCCCAACUCACCAGGUUUUUCAACAGAGCUUUACACGUGUUUGUGCAUUUUGACCUGUUAUAUGUGUACAUGUGCACUGUGCAGUUUGCCAUGGUGGGAGGCGGCUGUAACGUUUAUCAUGGACGGAUUUGGCAAGAAAAAUUCUGCCCAUUUUUAAGAGAAAGGAGCUGAUCGGUCGUACUGGCGGUGUGCAGCUUUGGCUUUCUGCUGGGGAUUCCUCAUAUUACCAGGGGUGGGAUAUAUGUGUUUCAGCUGAUGGAUCACUACACAGCUGUGGUGUCUCUAAUGUUCCUGGCCUUCUUCGAGGUGCUCGCCAUCACACUCAUAUUCGGAGUGAGACGGCUCAGUAUCAUCUGGUGGAGAAAAUGCUGGGAAAAGAAACCAAACCUC